rnacentral:rRNA from 1 species
AGAGGUUGAACGCCCACAUUGGGAGUGACACGCGCCCCAGUCUCCUGCGGGACGCCGCAGUGGGGGAUAUCGCACAAUGGGGGAACCCCUGACACAGCGACGCCGCGAGGAAAAAGAAUGUUUUGAUAUUAUAAAUUCCUGUUGUUAGGGAAGAUAAUGACGGUACCUAACAAGAAAGCCCCGGCUAACUACGUGCCAGCAGCCGCGGUAAUACGUAGGGGGCAAGCGUUGUCCGGAAUUACUGGGUGUAAAGGGAGCGCAGGCGGGAAGACAAGUCAGAAGUGAAAACCAUGGGCUCAACCCAUGAAUUGCUUUCAAAACUGUUUUUCUUGAGUAGAGCAGAGGCAGAUGGAAUUCCCGGUGUAGCGGUGGAAUGCGUAGAUAUUGGGAGGAACACCAGUGGCGAAGGCGGUUUACUGGGCUCCAACUGACGCUGAGGCUCGAAAGCAUGGGUAGCAAACAGGAUUAGAUACCCUGGUAGUCCACGCCGUAAACGAUGAUUGGUAGGUGGGGUGGGACUGCCUCCGUCAGUGCGGCAGUUCACUACAACAAGUCAUCCGCGGGGGGAGUCCGCCCGCAAGGUUGUCACUCAAAGGAAUGGGCGGGGGCCCGCACAAGCAGUGGAGUAGGUGGUUUAAUUGGAAGCAACGGGACGAUCCUUGGUAGGUCCAUACAUCCGAUGCAUAGUGCAGAGAUGCAGGAACUCUUUCGGGACAUCGAGACAGGUGGUGCAUGGUUGUCGUCAGCUCGUGUCGUGAGAUGUUGGGUUAAGUCCCGCAACGAGCGCAACCCUUAUCGCCAGUUACUACGCAAGAGGACUCUGGCGAGACUGCCGUUGACAAAACGGAGGAAGGUGGGGAUGACGUCAAAUCAUCAUGCCCUUUAUGACCCGGGCUACACACGUAAUACAAUGGCGUUUAACAAAGAGAAGCAAGACCGCGAGGUGGAGCAAAACUCAAAAACAACGUCUCAGUUCAGAUUGCAGGCUGCAACUCGCCUGCAUGAAGUCGGAAUUGCUAGUAAUCGCGGAUCAGCAUGCCGCGGUGAAUACGUUCCCGGGCCUUGCACUCACCGCCCGUCA